GGCACCUGCCCCUCUAUGGAGCAGUUCAGCUGUUGUGAUAGCUGAUGAGCUAAAUUUAAGCCAAAAACAAUGGUCACUGAAGACACUAGCUAUCAACUACAAUUCAACACUUAAUGUCAGUGGCUGCAGUGCACAGAAACCACGUGUGUGGCAUCUGCAUGGGGGAUGGCACUGACUUGCCCCAUGACACAUGCAGAAGAGAAGCACUGUCUGACUGGCACUGUCUACACUUGGCCCAGGAUUCUCACCCAGGGAAUAAACAAAAAGCGUCUUCGAGGCAGAGGGGAGAAGUCCCCAGCUGGCUUACAGGCCUGGGCAGAUACCAUGUAGUGCUGUCAAGCCCCCUCACAAAGCAGUGUCCUCUUUUUCUUCCCAAAUCUCUGCCAUCCUUUAUCCUGUCCCAGAUGUCCUUUCACAACUGCCCAGUCCCACCUGAUUCAUGUUUGUAAUACUCUCAAUUAAAAAAUUAGUAAUUAAAAUGAAGCCCUCUUUUCCCAUAUUACUCCCAGCCAUUACACUGCUCCAUCUGCCCAUUCCAGAUCCCUUCUUGUUUUUAAAAGACUCAUUAGCAUGUGAUCUUGUCUCUGCCAGGAUUCCCCAGUGCCAUCUGCUCCCUUCCUAGAUGAUCAGUCUCACUCAGAUCACUGUUUACCGCACUUAAAAAUAUGACACAUUUUCUAAGCACCGGUCUUGGAGGAUGCUGUUGUGUUUCUCUACCAAAGUCAGUGGCUAUCAGUCUCUUGCCACAUUGAUCCUUGUCCUUAGAUGCCCUGAUGCAUUCCCAGAACUCUGGGGGUUUUGUGGUGGCAGCAGAUCUGUGUCCCUUAGGCUAUACAACCACAUGCUGUGCUAUAAUUUGUUUAAGACAUUUAGCACCUCCCCAAAUUCAGCAUCCUCUUUGUGGGAACAAUUUGUGUCCAUCUUAAUUCUUGCAGCAUAAAAUUACUAAAUUCAUGUUGUAUUGCUUUGAAGAGUUUUUAAAAAAAGAUUUUUCAUGCAUUUCACCUAUUGGUCCUCAUGGUUAUUUUCAUGCAUG